rnacentral:misc_RNA from 1 species
AAGCCACUGCUGCAGCGUGACUCUGCUCUAGCACCUCACCAAGCAGAAAGCUAGAGAGCUAGCAAUGGCGCCCACCGUGAUGGCCUCGUCGGCCACCUCCGUUGCUCCCUUCCAGGGGCUCAAAUCCACCGCCGGGCUCCCCGUCAGCCGCCGCUCCAACAGCGCCGGCCUCGGCAGCGUCAGCAACGGUGGAAGGAUCAGCUGUAUGCAGGUGUGGCCGAUUGAAGGCAUCAAGAAGUUUGAGACCCUGUCGUACCUGCCACCGCUCACGGUCGAGGACCUCUUGAAGCAGAUCGAGUACCUGCUCCGGUCCAAAUGGGUGCCUUGCCUCGAGUUUAGUAAGGUCGGGUUCGUCUACCGUGAGAACCACAGGUCUCCUGGGUACUAUGAUGGCAGGUACUGGACCAUGUGGAAGCUGCCUAUGUUCGGAUGCACUGAUGCCACCCAGGUGCUCAAGGAGCUCGAGGAGGCCAAGAAGGCAUAUCCAGAUGCAUUUGUUCGCAUCAUCGGCUUCGACAACGUCAGGCAGGUGCAGUUGAUUAGCUUCAUCGCCUACAAGCCCCCGGGUUGCGAGGAGUCCGGCGGAAACUAAGCUAGUUGGCAAGCCAGCAAGCUCACUCGUGAGCUCUAUACAGAGGAGACUCGAUUGAUCUAUUCGGUUUUGGCAGCUUUGAACGUUCGAAUCGGGCCACCUUGCAUUGGUUUCCCCUUUCCCAGUUUGUUGCUUCAGUUUUUUUUUUUCAUCUUGUUUGUGUCAACAUCAGCUGUGUAUGUAUGUACAUAUGUAUGUAUCAACAUAGGUUGAAGAGCAUGCAUAUGUGAAUGCUAGCACCAGGCUAAUCAUAUGCACAUACACAUCGUAAUAAAUAUAUUGUACAAAUCGUCAAAAAC